CCACAUAAAUGCAUUCGAUGAAUUAAUAUUAUAUUAAUGCACAUAGCGGUUAUUAAAGAGUAACCAAGGAAACCACCGAGAGAUAUGUAGAAAUUCAUUCGGUGAUUGUGACGUAUCAUCAAUACUCAUUAAAUAUGUGCAAUGUUUAUUAAUUUUUGAUUUACUAGCUACUUCAUUACGUACUAGUUCACACUGGACUUGGAGUAAAAAUCCCCUUGGAACUGAUAAGCAGUACUGAGGUUUCCUAUAAUAAAUGUGUGUAUGUGAGCAACGUUACGACGUAGUAAACGUCAUCACUUAAAACGGUUAUCAUUGGAGUGAGCUAUUGAAAAGGUUUAUUUGUUUUUGUAAAUAGUGUUUUUCAUAGUAAUAAAUGUAAAUAUCUGUAA